rnacentral:tRNA from 1 species
GGAUAGAUGGCUGAGCGGUCGAAAGCACCGGUCUUGAAAACCGGCAGAUGUGUAAGCAUCUCGUGGGUUCGAAUCCCACUCUAUCCG